rnacentral:misc_RNA from 1 species
GAUGAAGAACGCAGCGAAAUGCGAUAAGUAAUGUGAAUUGCAGAAUUCAGUGAAUCAUCGAAUCUUUGAACGCACAUUGCGCCCGCUAGUAUUCUGGCGGGCAUGCCUGUCCGAGCGUCAUUUGUACCCUCAAGCUUUGCUUGGUGUUGGGCGUCUUGUCUCUAGCUUUGCUGGAGACUCGCCUUAAAGUAAUUGGCAGCCGGCCUACUGGUUUCGGAGCGCAGCACAAGUCGCACUCUCUAUCAGCAAAGGUCUAGCAUCCAUUAAGCCUUUUUUUCAACUUUUGACCUCGGAUCAGGUAGGGAUACCCGCUGAACUUAAGCAUAUCAAUAAGCGGAGGA